CUACGGGAUGCUGCAGUGAGGAAUAUUGCACAAUGGGGGGAACCCUGAUGCAGCAACGCCGCGUGGAGGAUGACGCAUUUCGGUGUGUAAACUCCUUUUAUAUGUUAAGAAAAUGACGGUAGCAUAUGAAUAAGCACCGGCUAACUCCGUGCCAGCAGCCGCGGUAAUACGGAGGGUGCAAGCGUUACUCGGAAUCACUGGGCGUAAAGGACGCGUAGGCGGGUUGGAAAGUCAGGUGUGAAAUCCUACAGCUUAACUGUAGAACUGCACUUGAAACUUCUAAUCUAGAGUAUGGGAGGGGGAGAUGGAAUUAGUGGUGUAGGGGUAAAAUCCGUAGAUAUCACUAGGAAUACCUAAAGCGAAGGCGAUCCCCUGGAACAUUACUGACGCUAAGGCGUGAAAGCGUGGGGAGCAAACAGGAUUAGAUACCCCUGUAGUC
rnacentral:rRNA from 1 species